GGAGUCAUAGCUCAGUGGUAGAGCGAAGGAUUGCAGUAAAUCUUUCAUGAUCAUGAAGUAGUUAUCCUUAGGUCGCCGGUUCGAACCCGGCUGGCUCCU